rnacentral:rRNA from 1 species
UUCCUACGGGAGGCAGCAGUGGGGAAUAUUGCGCAAUGGGCGAAAGCCUGACGCAGCGACGCCGCGUGAGGGAUGAAGGUCUUCGGAUCGUAAACCUCUGUCAGCAGGGAAGAACGGUCACUGUGUUCAUCAGCAGUGAAUUGCCGGUACCUGCAAAGGAAGCACCGGCUCACUCCGUGCCAGCAGCCGCGGUAAUACGGCGUGUGCGAGCGUUCCUCGGAAUUACUGGUCGUCACGCGCUCGUAGGCGGUCUGUCACGU